rnacentral:snRNA from 1 species
AUACUCUGGUUUCUCUUCAGACCAUAUGAAUCUUCUGCCUUGUACUAAUUUUUCUAAGAGGAGCAAUUCUGAGUUUGUACCCAAUUUUUUGAGGCCUUGCUCUUGCAAGGCUA